AUUGAAUGCUGGCGGCAUGCUUAACACAUGCAAGUCGAACGCGAACGGGCUUCGGCCCAAGUAGAGUGGCGGACGGGUGAGUAAUGCGUGGGAAUCUACCCUCGAGCGGGGGGACAACCCGGGGAAACCCGGGCUAAUACCGCAUACGUCCUACGGGAGAAAGCGGGCCUCUACACUAUGCUCGCACUCGAGGAUGAGCCCACGUCCGAUUAGCUAGUUGGUAGGGUAACGGCCUACCAAGGCCACGAUCGGUAGCUGGUCUGAGAGGAUGAUCAGCCACACUGGGACUGAGACACGGCCCAGACUCCUACGGGAGGCAGCAGUGGGGAAUAUUGGACAAUGGGCGCAAGCCUGAUCCAGCAAUGCCGCGUGUGUGAAGAAGGCCUGCGGGUUGUAAACUGCUUUUGCCAGGGGAUAAAAAGUCCCUGCGGGGAAAAUUGAAGGUACCUGGUGAAUAAGCCACGGCUAACUACGUGCCAGCAGCCGCGGUAAU
rnacentral:rRNA from 1 species